rnacentral:rRNA from 1 species
GGCCCACCAGCUAGCUCAAACCCUUUGAAUGUAACAAUUAACCAUUAAUUAACCUCUGAUAGCUUAACACAUUACUGAGCCAAACCAUUCUACCACCUAAGUAUGGGAGACAGAAAAGGACCUAUUGAAGCGACAGCACCAGUACCGCAAGGGAACGCUGAAAUAGAAAUGAAAUAAGUCAGUAAAGCAUAACGAAGCAGAGAUUUCCUCUCGUACCUUUUGCAUCAUGAUUUAGCAAGAAAUUAUCAAGCAAAGAGCACUUUAGUUUGAUUCCCCGAAACCAAUGUGAGCUACUCCAAGACAGCCUUAUGGGCGCACCCGUCUCUGUGGCAAAAGAGUGGGAAGAGCUUUGAGUAGAGGUGACAGACCUACCGAACUUGGUUAUAGCUGGUUGUCCAGGAACUGAAUAGAAGUUCAGCCUCUUGUCCUCUUAUUCCCUGAAUCUGAGUACACCCGAAGCACCAAAGAGGGCUAGAGAGUUAGUCAAAGGGGGCACAGCCCCUUUGAAAGAGAUACAACUUUCCCUAGAAGGGUUAAGAUCAAAAUACCCCAAGGAGCCGGCGUCUAAGUUGGCUUGAAAGCAGCCAUCAAUAAAGAAAGCGUUAAAGCUCGUGCGCCUCACCCCUCCCAUUAUCCCGACCAUAUAAUCUUACCCCCCUAAACAUACUGGACCCCUCCAUUCCUUUAUGGAAGAGACUAUGCUAAUAUGAGUAAUAAGAGAUUAAGCAUCUCUCCCCGCACGAGUGUACAUCGGAACGAACCAACACCGAAACUUAACGUACCCAAUGAAAGAGGGCAAUUGAAUACACCAACUAACCACAAGAAAAACAUCAACCCCCACCCCGUUAAUCUUACACCAGAGUGCACCCAGGGAAAGACUAAAAGAAAAAGAAGGAACUCGGCA